rnacentral:rRNA from 1 species
AACACAUGGCAAGUCGAGCGGUAACAGGGGAGCUUGCUCCUGCUGACGAGCGGCGGACGGGUGAGUAACGCGUAGGAAUCUGCCUAGUAGAGGGGGACAACAUGUGGAAACGCAUGCUAAUACCGCAUACGCCCUGAGGGGGAAAGGAGGGGACUCUUCGGAGCCUUCCGCUAUUAGAUGAGCCUGCGUGAGAUUAGCUAGUUGGUAGGGUAAAGGCCUACCAAGGCGACGAUCUCUAACUGGUCUGAGAGGAUGACCAGUCACACUGGGACUGAGACACGGCCCAGACUCCUACGGGAGGCAGCAGUGGGGAAUAUUGGACAAUGGGCGCAAGCCUGAUCCAGCCAUGCCGCGUGUGUGAAGAAGGCCUUAGGGUUGUAAAGCACUUUCAGGGGUGAGGAAGGGUGAUAGCUUAAUACGUUAUCAUCUUGACGUUAGCCCCAGAAGAAGCACCGGCUAACUCUGUGCCAGCAGCCGCGGUAAUACAGAGGGUGCAAGCGUUAAUCGGAAUUACUGGGCGUAAAGCGCGCGUAGGUGGUUUGUUAAGUCGGAUGUGAAAUCCCAGGGCUCAACCUUGGAAUGGCACCCGAUACUGGCUAGCUAGAGUAUGGUAGAGGGGUGUGGAAUUUCCUGUGUAGCGGUGAAAUGCGUAUAUAUAGGAAGGAACAUCCGUGGCGAAGGCGACACCCUGGACUAAUACUGACACUGAGGUGCCAAAGCGUGGGGAGCAAACAGGAUUAGAUUCCCCUGG